AAGAUAGUAUAACCUAGCAAGGAAGCCAUCGUCUAGAGGUACGUUCUCAUACAUAUCAUUUUUCAGAUUCCCUCACAUAUAUAUUACUGAGAAUUAUUAUCUCUCUCUGGACAUUAGAGAAUAGAUUCCUCCAUUGUUAACUUUGUGAACACAUACUAAUUCUCACGCCUGAGCUAUCCCCCGACGGAACCGCCGUCAAGCUUGUGGUGUUUACCGUGUUUACUGUUCAGGAUCAAGACGUCUUACGUGAUUGGGACGUGGCAGAAGAUCCUGGCGUUAACAUUGGCGCUAGAAGGAGGGCUUUUUCUAGUGUUCUUGAGUUAUCAAUCACAAUAUUUUUAGUUGUUAUACAUCGGAAGUUAUGGCACAAAUUAGGGGGUUCUCGUUCGAGAUCCCCCGGCGAAGCCCGAAGAUAGUUGGUCUUUGCUGUUGACAAAGAGCAUGAUCAUGGCCGAAGGCAAGUAAAAGGCAUCCCGCCUAGAACUCGGCACCGAAGUGGUCAGGCUGAUGAAGAUGGUGGACGAAGCAGAUAGAGCUUUGGAGGUUCUCUUGGAGCGGAGCAAGGAUGUAGCUGUGCGGAGCGAGGAUGUAGCUGAGGAACAAAGCAUUCAAUUAUGUCCAGUCUAAAAGACGUGGUACGCCUAAAGAUGGACAACCGUGAAUUGGAAAGCAGUCUAUAUACUUUAAAGACAUGUCUCGAGGCCGUCCUUGGGAUCGAAGCAGACCCAACAGCCAUUUUCUUGAUUGACUGAGAAGGGUAUUCCGCCCUAUCGGUCUUCGGGAUUAUGGUCGAAGCAGAGUAGAUGAAGACCCAACAGCCAGUUUCCUGAUUGAUUGACUGAGAAGGGUAUUCCGCCCUAUUGGUCUUCGGGAUUAUGGUCGAAGCAGAGUAGAUGAAGAUCCAACAGCCAUUUUCUUGAUUGACCGAGGAGGGUACUUCACCCUAUUGGUCUUUGGGAUUAUGGUCGCAACAAAUGAAUAA
rnacentral:lncRNA from 1 species